UUUAAAAGCUGCCCUUUUAGUUCGUUUAAAUAAAAUGUCUCCAGCUGUGUUUAUACUACAAAACCAUUUGUAACCAUCUCCUCCACUUUGGCCCCAAACAUUUUUUAUUCAUGGACUUUUAGAUUGCAGCCACAAUAGCUCAUGCUUUUGUGCUUUGUUAUGAAUCUAUAAUAGCACUAUUUUCAAGAAUUAUCAGUCACUACUACCAUUUCUGGGCUUGCCCUUGGAGUCUGAGCCCUGAGAUCAAAACAUUAGCCUUACAAGCAGCAUCUCUGCCCAGAGGCCCAGACAAUGUUCCCCACUACCAAUUUUCAGAAGCUGAUGACAUCCGCAUGAGGUAAAAUGCCACCAAAAUAAUGUGCCAAGCUCUGGGCCAAGCUCUGGGUAUACAAAAGCAAUGAAGACACAGUCACCGAUCUCAAAGAGCUCACAGUCUAGAGAUGAAGACAGCACAUAAAUAGUAAUUACAAGAUGGAGCAGGAGGUUAGCAGAGCCUGUGCCUUCAGCUGCGAUGGGAAGGUGUUAAGUUGUUCUGCUUGGUCAAGUCCUAUGAAGAAGCCCAGGAUCCCAAGAUUACCAGCCUGUUAAACAAGCUGAUGGUGCUGUUCCUGCCACCCAUGACGCUGCCCUCAAGGCCUGCUUCUGGGGGUAGCACAGCAGCUCCUGAGGGUUUGCCAUCCUUGGUGCCACUGCCCAGGGAGAGAAGACCUUUGUCUUUCAGAUGAUAAUAAAUGGGCCUGUGACUAAUGGGCAAAACCUCACAAAGAAAAUCUCUGAUUGCAUGAUUGGAAUGGUCAGGGAUCAAUGUACAGCACUCCUCUGAGUUGAACCACUUCUGAUUCUGCCGUCUUCAAAUAUACUCAUGAUCUUGAAGACAGAUGGUAAAAUUCAACAAUCAUUUUUUUUCACCCCUGCCUCCUUCACCAUUGCAAUUUUACUAUGUUGGUCCUAUGUUAGAUACUUGAGUGUGAAUGGCAACAGAGGGACACCCUAGCAUCAGGAAAAUUAUAGCCUUAAACAAAAUAAUGUUGUCUUACUUAAAUAUUUCUAAAUAAUGAAUGAAUGAUGAAGCUCUGGUAGGAUCAAACAUACAAACAGCUUGACAUAUGACGUACAAAGCCCUUCUAAAGCGCUGGUUCUCAAUCUUGAGCUUAGAUCAGUGGCUCUCAACAUUCUCUGUGCAUCAUCAUCACAUAUUAAACUUUUAAAAAACACAGAUUUCUGGGCCCCACCCCCAGACAUCUGAAUUCAAUUUGCUUGAGGUAACAAUCUGGGCAGCGGAAUUUUUUAAAGCAUCCCAGAUGAUUUUAAUAUGCAACCGGGAUGGGGGAGACACUAAUUUAGAGAUUCAGAGUUCAUGAAUUCAAGAGUUUAGGCUCUUCAAAAGAUUUUUAUGCUCGCUAAUAAGUAAUACUUCCAUGUCACAUAUUUUGUCAGGCAUUGUUUUAGGUCGUUUACAAACAUAAACUCAUUCAUUCCUCUCAACAACUCUAUGAGAAAAGUACUUUUAUUAUUCCCAUUUUGCAGACAAGAAAACUGAAACAGAAAAUCAUUAAGCUUCUUGUCCUGAGCCUCAGAGCUGUUUAGUGGCAAAUCUGGGGUUUGAACUCAUCAGGAUACCAGAGAUUUGCUGUGUCACUCUACCAUAAAGCCUCCCAGAGGUCUGAGGACCACUCACAUAGACAUUGAAAUAUCAGAGUCUGUUAAGGAGCAUGAGGGAAUCAGGAUCUCAAAUCUGUUUCCAUUCAGAGGACAUUUCUAUUAACUUGGAUGCAAGAGGGAUCAGUAAAAAUCACCAGAGUAGACUCUCCUUAGUCUCUCAGUCUAAAUCUCAGGGAAUAGGUUUUUAAACUUUAGAAUCUAGUUAUGCAGCAUCUGUGUCUUUUCUUUAUGUCUCACUUUUCUUUCUUUCUCUUCUUUCUUUCUUUUUUCUUUCUUUUCCUUUCUUUCUUUUCUUUCCUCUUUCUUUCUUCUUCCUUUCCUUCUUUCUCUUUCUCUUUAUUUAUUUAAUUUAUUUAUUUUCUUCUUUCUUUCCUCUUCUUUAUUUUACAAAAAGCAAACAUACAGAAUUAAAGUGGUUGUUUUGGUCGAUAUGUCAUUUCCUGCUCUUAAGGCCAGAAGACCUUUAAAAGCCUAUUUUAAAUCUCAAGUUGCUGCUUAAGCAGUUAAUAUGUCUUACAAAGUCACAUUUAGAUGAGUUCAGGCUAAAUGAAUCAAGAAAGUAUCAAUUACAUAACCUUCAAAAGAAGGCUGCCAUAAGAAUGGAAAGGAAGAGUUCCCUGGAGUUUGCCUUGUUUUGCAAGACUUCUAUGCCUGAAAAAGUGUCUGAAAUAUUUUUCAAACUCUAAAUGGUUUCAUACUCCUAUUCACUAAUAACCAUAAUGAAUGAUUACAAAAAUCAAAGUCAUUUUUUCUCCUUUUUCCUAUAAGAAAAUGUCACUCAAAAAAGUGCAUACCACUCCCAUCUUUGUAUGUGAGAGUUAGAGUAAGAAAAAACAGGUUUAUAACAGGAUCAAUGCAUUUGACAAUCACCAAAGAUGUAUUUAGCGGCAAUUGUAAAAUUGUAUUUAUUGUAUUUACUGGCCAAACACUGUAGGGUUACCCAUAAGAUGCAGUUCCUUCUGAUAUGAUAUGCUGGAUAACUCACUUCCCACUUCUAGAUGGAGCUCCAUUCCAGCCUCAGGGAGCAAUUUGACCCAUGGCAAGUUCACAUAAAGGCUACUAGAUCCAUGGUGCUGUGUCAGUCUAGUUGGCUUCACUAUUUGCUAAUUCAAAAUAAACUCAAAUAAUUCCUGAGCAUCUAUUCUGUACUAGACAAAGGUACACAUUGUUUUGACAGGGCUUCAGUGACAGUGAUGUUAUCAUCAGAAAAGUAUUUACUUACCAGGUAAUGUGCCCUGGACAUUUCCACUGCAACCUGGAGUUUAAUGCUACUCUUCACUCCAUCCCACAUCAUUCCUCCCAAGGCCCCACCUCCAAAUAGGUGACCGAAUCAUCCAGGUUUUAGUAUUGGAAGUAAUAUGCCUCCUGGGAUUGUUCAUAUUCUCCUGUCCCAGGAAACCCCUCAAUACUGGAAAAAACAAGAAUAUUUGGUCACCCUACCCCCAACACAUCUUUGAUCAUCAGCUUGUUUAGAAGCCCACACAGGUGAAGUGUUGUAGCUGAGAUGGUUCACAGGGGCACUUCGUUUGUCAGUCACCAGCAAAGAACCUAGGGAAAGACUGAGAAAACACAUUUUGGCUUUUGUGGUUUUGGUUUGUGGACAAGGGGUGCUAUGCUGUUCCUGCCAGAGCAGUGUUACCCUGCACAGGAAGCAUGGGUUGGGGGUUAUAGAGGGAGUCUAUCCUUGUUGAAGAAAUGGAAGGCCAUUUAUGCUUUUUUGUGUCUCAUAAAUCACCAGCUUCCAUACUUGAAAACCCGAAGUCAAAAUGCUCAGCCGGAAUUGAGAGAUGGUCACUCUGCCUUUGGCAGCACGAUACCAGCUUCAUUUACAGAGCAGGUACCAGCAGCCCUGCUGACUGCGUGUCAUGUCAUCCAUCAUGUGAAACUAAACCAACAAGGCGUGAAGAGAUGGUGUGGGAACUCUUGUCAGAGGGGUCAGACUACUUCAUCAAGGAGGCAGGGCAAUGUUUAGGAUAGCAGGCUAAUGGGAAGGGUUUUUCAGGGCAGAGUUUUAAAGGGUGCUUCCCCAUACUCUGAAACGCUCAGGAGGCAGAAGCUCACAUUUAUUUUGGGGGCACCAAAUUACAUUUGAGAAGGUACUCUCACUACUGAAAAUACACUACUAGCUCAUUAUUCUUUCUUCCUGCUUGUCCUUUUUAAUUUUUUUCCUGUUGUCAAAAGCUGAAGUGACCACCUUGAGAAUUGGCGCUACUUUAGAGUACUAUUCAUGUUUUAUGAAAGAUAGAUAUUUUGAAAUAGGCUUGACCAUUGACAUUGUUUGGACCUGUGUCCCUACUAAAUCUCAUAUUGAAUUGUGGUCCCCAGUGUUGGAGGUGGGGUCUGGUGGCAGGUGUUGGA
rnacentral:lncRNA from 1 species